GGAAGGACGGUGGCCAGAGCACGAAGCACCGCCCAACAAAAGCUGUAGUUUUUCAGAGACUGGAAAAAAUGUGUUUGCUUGUCCUGCUGAAGGACCCUACCGUGUGGAAUAGCUGGUUGGAGUUUGUGACAAAGUGCACAGUUGGGUGCCAAACUAAUCCCCUGGUCAUGAACGGAAGCCGGGACUACCAGAAGGAGCAAAGAUUGUCUAGCAAGACCUCAGAAUAAAAGGACCCUUGUGACACCUACUCUGUUGUUGCCAGAGUCUCCCUCGACUCCUAUGAAAAAGACACGCCACAUCAUGAGGCCUCUGACAGUGACCCGAGUUACUUCCCUGAUGACACAGACGGCUUCAUCAAUAACGACAGGCCGUUGUUCGAGAGAUGUCCAGUUUGCGGCCAAACAUGCAGCAUAGAGAAGACCAGCAAGGGGGCCCUCAUCAGCUUCAUGCAGACAUGCCCUCGCUGUGACCAUUCCUUAAUGGAACAGUCAUGUUGGCAAGUAUCCGGCCAGCAACCUUCACUUAUCACUUAUUUGUACAAAUACAGAAGGUAACCCACUUCAUUACUUUGAUACAUUUGAUAAUCCAAUUGUGAAACAUCAUUUAUGUAAACUGACAUUAUUUGUUGCUUAUUUUCUACUUCUUAGAUGCAUAUAAUGACCAGAGCAUAAUUCAGGAAGUUAUGAUUGAUAUUUUUGGCAAGGUAGCCCCAGCACCACCAGACAAAAUGUUGAUAGGUACAGUAUCUGUAUCGGCUGUGAGUGACAAUAAAAGAUGAAAGACCAGUGUAGAAUUUGCACAUUGGUAUAUUAGCAGAACAAUGCUUCUACAGUAUUAUGUGAAGGAUGGUUUAUUCUACAUGGAACUGUUACACUUGAAAGUUAUCAAAACACUUUGUUUAGAAUAUCUACAUAAGUUCAGCAAUUGCAUUCUUCUCAUAUUACUCUGUAGGCUAAUCAGUACGAGAAGAGUGCCAUCAUCCUGCAUCUCACA